ensembl:lncRNA
GGCAUUUCUUGAAGAAGUUCAGGGUGGAUCCGAGGUACGUUUGGAUCAUUCUCCAGUUGUAGAACGCAUCCUCUCUUCAGCUUCAGGUUUCUGAUCGAGUUUCACAUUUGCUUCCAGAAGUUGCUGAUAUUUCCUGCGACGUGCAUCAUUUCCUGCGCUACUGGCUUCCACACGAGCCCAAAACAUAAAAGCUCCACCCGCGUAACCGCGGACGAGGUGUUCUCCUCGUCGACGACGCCACGAGCCUUUUCGUUGAGUUCGAAGGUAACCGGUAUAAAGUCCGUCCAACCGGGGCAGAAAGCGCUCGUUUCCGAGACGCCUCUGGCUCGUCUACGUGUCACUGGGUCGCUGACUUUCGUGAUGAGGUCACAACUUUUGACUUUUGAGACUAGCUUCUGCUGCCAGACUGGCAGUGAAUUAAUGCAGCUGGAAACAGAAGAAGCAAGGGGAGUGGAGUGGAGGAGAACAUCCUCAUCAUCAUCAUCAUCAUCAUCAUCUUUGUGCGUUUCAUUUCACAUCUAUUACACUGAUACUCGGGCUGUGCUGGAAACACUGCCGUUCAUUCACCCAGUCCGACAUGAGCUUGGACCCCCCCCACACACACACACACAAAUACACACACAUAAAUGAAGACACA